GAGGGAAAACAGAGGGAGCUUUUCUUACCGAGUGCAAACAAGGCAGCCCAGACUCCGAAACGAACUGCCCAGAUGCUUAAAACAUCUCGACUUGGGAGGGGGUAAAGAGAGAAAAAAAAGAAAGAAAAAAGAAACCCUGAACUUCCUUCCAAAACUUUGAGCGGCGGUGACGCAGCUGGGCUUGGGGGACCUAAGAGAGACUUCUCGCGGACUUGGAGGUUUUUUUCUUCCCUGGCUGCCCCCUCACCUUCCUACCCUGACCUACUACACUCUCUGUGCCAUCUGCCAGCUGGGCCUCAGAGGAGCAGAAGUCAUCAGAGGAGCCUGGUGGCUUAGAUUAAAAUGUCCAGGUUCAUUCAGGACCUGACCAUUUCAAAAUGAAACCUACAGAGUGAAAGGU